CACGGGGGGGAGCAAGCGUUGUUCGGAAUCACUGGGCGUUAAAGGGCGUGUAGGCGGUCAGGUAAGUGGAAUGUGAAAUCCCUCGGCUCACCCGAGGACCUGCAUCCCAAACUGCCUGGCUUGAGUAUGGGAGAGGAUGAGGGAAUUCCUGGUGUAGCGGUGAAAUGCGUAGAUAUCAGGAGGAACACCGGUGGCGAAGGCGCUCAUCUGGCCCCAAUACUGACGCUGGAGGGCGCGAAAAGCUAGGGGGAGCAAAACGGGG
rnacentral:rRNA from 1 species